UAAGAAUAAUUUAAGAAUAACUUAAACAAUAAUUAUAACAAUGAAAAGGAAUAAAAGAAAAAAAUAUAAAUGCAACAAAGCUGCGACUAAAUCACAAAAGCUGCGACUUUUACCUACUUUUUUUGGCAUACCAUUGUCUGAAUCUAUAAAAUGUGAUAAUUACCCGCAAGAAUAUUCACCUCCUCUCGUAGCCAGUGAAAUUUUUCUUUCAAUGUAAUUUUUUGUGACUUAUUUUGAUUGCUAAAUGUGUUCAUGAUGUUAAUUAUUCAUCAAAUUUAUAUGCGAUUUAGUUGUUGUACAUUUUAAUAUACAUUAAUUUUGAAUUUGAAUAUAUUUCUUGAAUUUCGGACGAAAAUUGACUCUUGCUCUUCUUGAUUAUUCGUAGGUACUUAAAAAAAAAAGAAAAAGAAAAAAAAAAUACAAAAUACAUUACAACCUCCCCAGUUAGCAAGAUUGAGCUCCGUCAUUUGGAUCCAUUAGCCCGUACAGGAGCUCGCUCCAAUACUCGCGUUAUCCACAAAAUGUAGCAGUAGAUUGAAGAUGGCAUUGCUAAGCGCGCUCCUUACAGUCUCCGUCCACAGUCUCUAGCGGCAGAUUGGAGACUGAGUUGAUAAGCGCGCUUCUCACGGUGUUCAUCCACCGUCUCUAGCGGUUGAACGAAAAUGAGUCGGGAACGAGUCCAGGCGAGCGCAUCUAGCCGCGUGUGUAGUGCGUUUGGAGUUGCGGAGAAAUGCAGGAGUGUGGAUGCGCGCGCCGCGCGUCCUUCAACUCAACAGGCAAGUUGUUGUUAGUUGUGUUGUGAUUCAGGAUUCAGUUCUUAUGGAAUUGAUUGUAAAGUCCACUUGUUAAAUGGCCUCACUCCAGACGAGCAUCUGCACUCAGAUUUAUCCAAGUAUUCUGGAAUUUCCAAGCGGCUAAUAUUCUAUGAUCUGAUUGCCCAUCCUGUAUCUGAGCAAUCAUUGGUAGAGAGUUAGCAGCAAAAUCAAAUCACCUCAAAAUUCAUCAUUUAGUGCUUCAAACAACAUUGAUAUCAA